rnacentral:rRNA from 1 species
CGGAGGAUCCAAGCGUUAUCCGGAUUCAUUGGGUUUAAAGGGUGCGUAGGCGGGAUAGUAAGUCAGUGGUGAAAACCUGCAGCUUAACUGCAGAACUGCCAUUGAUACUGCUAACCUAGAGUACAGCUGAUGUGGCGGAAUGUGUCGUGUAGCGGUGAAAUGCUUAGAUAUGACACAGAACACCGAUUGCGAAGGCAGCUCACAAAACUGUAACUGACGCUGAGGCACGAAAGCGUGGGGAUCGAACAGGAUUAGAUACCCUGGUAGUCCACGCUGUAAACGAUGAUCACUCGAUGUUGGCGAUAUACUGUCAGCGUCCAAGCGAAAGCGAUAAGUGAUCCACCUGGGGAGUACGAUCGCAAGAUUG